rnacentral:misc_RNA from 1 species
UCCGAGUUGACCCCGGCAGUCUUCCAUGAGUCCCCACCAUUACGUGCUGGCAACAUAGAACGAGGGUUGCGCUCGUUGCGGGACUUAACCCAACAUCUCACGACACGAGCUGACGACAACCAUGCACCACCUGUGAGGCGCCCUUGCGGACCCGACAUCUCUGCCGGUUUUCGCCCCAUGUCAAGCCUUGGUAAGGUUCUUCGCGUUGCAUCGAAUUAAUCAGCAUGCUCCGCCGCUUGUGCGGGCCCCCGUCAAUUCCUUUGAGUUUUAGCCUUGCGGCCGUACUCCCCAGGCGGGGCACUUAAUGCGUUAGCUGCGGCACGGAACUCGUGGAAAGAGCCCCACACCUAGUGCCCAACGUUUACGGCGUGGACUAC